rnacentral:rRNA from 1 species
AUUGAACGCUGGCGGCAGGCCUAACACAUGCAAGUCGAGCGGAUGACGGGAGCUUGCUCCUUGAUUCAGCGGCGGACGGGUGAGUAAUGCCUAGGAAUCUGCCCGGUAGUGGGGGACGACGUUUCGAAAGGAACGCUAAUACCGCAUACGUCCUACGGGAGAAACCAGGGGAACGUCCGGCCUUGCGCUAUUAGGUGAGCCUAGGUCGGAUUAGCUAGUUGGUGGGGUAAUGGCUGACCAAGGCGACGAUCCGUAACUGGUCUGAGAGGAUGAUCAGUCACACUGGAACUGAGACACAGUCCAGACUCCUACGGGAGGCAGCAGUGGGGAAUAUUGGACAAUGGGCGAAAGCCUGAUCCAGCCAUGCCGCGUGUGUGAAGAAGGUCUUCGGAUUGUAAAGCACUUUAAGUUGGGAGGAAGGGCAGUAAGUUGAUACCUUGCUGUUUUGACGUUACCGACAGAAUAAGCACCGGCUAACUCUGUGCCAGCCGCCGCCGUAAAAC